UGGCUCAUUAAGUCACAUGUGAAAUCCCCGGGCUUAACCUGGGAACUGCAUGUGAUACUGGUGGUGCUAGAAUAUGUGAGAGGGAAGUAGAAUUCCAGGUGUAGCGGUGAAAUGCGUAGAGAUCUGGAGGAAUACCGAUGGCGAAGGCAGCUUCCUGGCAUAAUAUUGACACUGAGAUUCGAAAGCGUGGGUAGCAAACAGGAUUAGAUACCCUGGUAGUCCACGCCGUAAACGAUGUCUACUAGCCGUUGGGGUCCUUGAGACUUUAGUGGCGCAGUUAACGCGAUAAGUAGACCGCCUGGGGAGUACGGCCGCAAGGUUAAAACUCAAAUGAAUUGACGGGGGCCCGCACAAGCGGUGGAGCAUGUGGUUUAAUUCGAUGCAACGCGAAGAACCUUACCUGGUCUUGACAUAGUGAGAAUCCUGCAGAGAUGCGGGAGUGCCUUCGGGAAUUCACAUACAGGUGCUGCAUGGCUGUCGUCAGCUUGUGUCGUGAGAUGUUGGGUUAAGUCCCGCAACGAGCGCAACCCUUUUCCUUAUUUGCCAGCGGGUUAAGCCGGGAACUUUAAGGAUACUGCCAGUGACAAACUGGAGGAAGGCGGGGACGACGUCAAGUCAUCAUGGCCCUUACGACCAGGGCUACACACGUGCUACAAUGGUAGGUACAGAGGGUUGCUACACAGCGAUGUGAUGCUAAUCUCAAAAAGCCUAUCGUAGUCCGGAUUGGAGUCUGCAACUCGACUCCAUGAAG
rnacentral:rRNA from 1 species